UUUCCAUAAGACACACCUACCCCUAGUCCUGAGUCAGCUGACCCCUCGGGGUGGGAUGAGCAGAGGCUCUGGGGGCACACCCGCCCUAUCCAGUCCCCCUGGUUGAAGACACAGAGGUCCCCUCUCAUAUGAAACAAAGCAGGUCUGGCUCAAAUCUACCCCCAUGAGUAAAAGAACAUACCCAGGACCCUGAGACACUCACUGUAAGCAUCCCCUGCAGACACAUCACAGAGCCAGGACACGGGGAAGCAAUGUGGCAGUGCGGCAGUGCCCGCUGGCCAUGACAAGAAGAGCUGGCUCUGGGGGAAAGGAAGCCAAGGAAGGCUGCAGAGACGAGAGAGAGGCAAGGAAGAAUGGGUGGGAGGUGGAGGUGGAAAAAGCUCCAAAACCAAGCCAGAAGAUGACACCAUGGAGGUCACUUCAGCCCCUGUGUAUCCCUGUCUGUUAUCCGGAGGGCCACAGAAAAGCCAAAGGAGGCAGAUUUUCAAGACCUUUAUGGAAAGAGAAUGAGUUGCAGGCACUGCGUCAAGACCUAGGAGAUGCAGCAGGGAACCAACACACGGCCUACCUCUCCACAAGCACCUUGCUGUCCAGUAACAGCAGGGGACAAGGAAUUGGUGCUUCUGGUGUACCUGCUGCAUGCCAGAAAUCGUGCCAGGAGCUUCUGCACCCAUUGAUCCUCACACCAACCAAUUUUUCCUAUUUUAUGUAUCAGUCAACUGAGGCUCAGAGAGGUUAGAUCUUUUACCCAAAAUGGUUAACAUCAGAAGAUCCAGCAUUCAAUUCAUAGUCUGUCUAAUUCCAGAAUCUGUGCAAUUCUUAACACUUUCUUUCUCCAAGAGCCAAACACUCCCUUCUGUACCAAGUUCUGUUUUCGGAGUCUGCCCC